GCCGGGCAAGGCAGUGCAUGCCUGUAAUCCCAGCAACUCAGGAGGCUAAGGCAGGAGGAUCACAGGUUCAAGGCCAGCCUCAGCAACUUAGUGAGGCCCUAAGCAACUUAGGGAGACUUUGUCUCAA
rnacentral:sRNA from 1 species